rnacentral:rRNA from 1 species
UUAGGGAUAAGGGGUGCCACCAUCAGGUGGCCGCAGAGAAUAGGCCCAAGCGACUGUUUACCAAAAACAUAGGUUUCUGCUAAGUCGCAAGACGAUGUAUAGGAGCUGACGCCUGCCCGGUGCUGGACGGUUAAGGGGAUCUGUUAGAGUAAUCGAAGCAGUGAACUUAAGCCCCAGUAAACGGCGGCCGUAACUAUAACGGUCCUAAGGUAGCGAAAUUCCUUGUCGGGUAAGUUCCGACCCGCACGA